UAUUAUUGCACUACAUUCUGGUGUUUUGGCUUAGCAUUUGUCUCAAAUUAUAAACUUAGAUUUGAAUUCAACUUGGAUUUAAAACAAAAAGGAGGAAAGCAGGAAAUCGAAAAGAAAUAAGAAAAACAAAAUUUGCGCUGGGCCAAAUCCUGACCAUGGCUCGGCCCACCCAAGUCGCAUGGCCCGUUACCCCCCUCCGCCUUCUCCUUGUCUGCGGAAAUACAUUGAGUUGCUGAUAGCGGGGGCCCCCUGCUCAACCUCUCCUUCCUACCGCACUGGCCCACUUCUCCAAUGCAAAACACUGUCAAGUGGGUCCUGGUGUCCAGCGCCUACCUCCGCAUAUGGACAUAUGUGCCGCUGGCAUGGGGCCUAGGAUGUCAGCUUCAUCUUCCUAACAACCUAGGCCGCAGAUCGAGCGCGACCGCGCCCAAGUAGAUUCCUAUGCCCAACCUCGGAUCUUCCCCAUGGGCGUCCUCGCGAGGCUAUAUAUCUAUCCGCCGCGGCAUCCCCUUCACCCAUCCUUUGGUGCCAGCACCUGUACCCCAUGCCCCGUCGCUGGCGCAGGGAGCUUUGGAAUCCGCUGCAAGUCGUACUCACCUCCCCGUCGAAUCAACCUUGAUUCUUAGCCACGAGUGAAAGUCGAGGAACUCUGGGAUCUCGUGCACCGACCGGCCGAACCUGAAAUCAUUUUGUGCGCAAGGAAUUGCUCGUCGAAGCUCUGUCUCUGCCGCCAAGUCGCUUCUCACCGGGGACACCACUGCUAACGCCCAAAUUUGUG
rnacentral:lncRNA from 7 species